CAGGAAUGUGGGAGCAAAGGACGUUCCAAGCAGAGUGAAGGACAUCUGUGAAGGAUCACACCAAGGGCUAGCUGGGAGGGCCAGGCAGCUCCAGGUUGUCAGGGGCUGCUUCCCUCUUUCUUCAUUUGAAAGCGAACAGCAUGGAGCCCUGGAAAGCUGGCCGCAUCGCACAGGGUGCUCAUGCGGGGCAAAUGUCAGCCAUGUGUCAUUUGCGAGCCCUCAGGCUGCAGAGGAGGCUCUGCCGAGUUCAGGAAGCUGAAGAGCCUUUGGCAUCAGAUGGAUCCUAAUCUUGACUGCUCACGCUUUUGGUCACUUUGCAAGUCGCUUUCCCCUUUGCAACUUCAUUCUCUGAAGAAAUACUUAGUGAACAGCCACUGUAUGCCAGGUUUUGGGGACCUUGGGCCAGUGCCUUAACUCCCUGGGACUCAGUUUAUCCCUCUAGAAAAUGAGACUAUUCCAGCCUGGACAAUAAAGCAAGACCCUGUCUCUACAAAAAUAAAAAUAAAAAAA
rnacentral:lncRNA from 1 species